CCUACGGGAGGCAGCAGUGGGGAAUAUUGGGCAAUGGUCGCAAGCCUGACCCAGCAACGCCGCGUGAAGGAAGAAGGCUUUCGGGUUGUAAACUUCUUUUCUGAGGGACGAAGAAAGUGACGGUACCUAAGGAAUAAGCCACGGCUAACUCCGUGCCAGCAGCCGCGGUAAUACGUAGGUGGCAAGCGUUAUCCGGAUUUAUUGGGUGUAAAGGGCGUGUAGGCGGGAAAGCAAGUCAGAUGUGAAAACUCAUGGCUCAACCCUGAGCCUGCGUUUGAAACUGUUUUGCUUGAGUGCUGGGGAGGCAAUCGGAAUUCCGGGUGUAGCGGUGAAAUGCGUAGAUAUACGGAGGAACACCAGUGGCGAAGGCGGAUUGCUGGACAGUAACUGACGCUGAGGCGCGAAAGCGUGGGGAGCAAACAGGAUUAGAUACCCGAGUAGUC
rnacentral:rRNA from 1 species